AAUUUAGGUAGCUUAUUUUAAAGCAUGGCACUGAAGAUGUUAGGAUAAUCAUUUUUGAUUCUUAAA
rnacentral:tRNA from 1 species